rnacentral:rRNA from 1 species
AUUGAACGCUGGCGGCAGGCCUAACACAUGCAAGUCGAGCGGAUGAAGGGAGCUUGCUCCUGGAUUCAGCGGCGGACGGGCGAGUAAUGCCCAGGAAUCUGCCUGGUAGUGGGGGAUAACGUCCGGACACGGGCGCUAAUACCGCAUCCGUCCUGAGGGAGAAAGUGGGGGUUCUUCGGACCUCACGCUAUCAGAUGAGCCUAGGUCGGAUUAGCUAGUUGGUGGGGUAAAGGCCUACCAAGGCGACGAUCCGUAACUGGUCUGAGAGGAUGAUCAGUCACACUGGAACUGAGACACGGUCCAGACUCCUACGGGAGGCAGCAGUGGGGAAUAUUGGACAAUGGGCGAAAGCCUGAUCCAGCCAUGCCGCGUGUGUGAAGAAGGUCUUCGGAUUGUAAAGCACUUUAAGUUGGGAGGAGGGGCAGUAAGUUAAUACCUGGCUGUUUUGACGAUACCAACAGAAUAAGCACCGGCUAACUUCGUG